rnacentral:lncRNA from 1 species
UAUUAAUUGAGAAAAUAAUCAGGCAAAUAAUUGACAAUUGGAAAUAUUCAAUAGCUGCAGCCCUGUGACUAUUGGAUCUAGUCACCAUGGGUUCACUACAGGGGAUCUGUCACUUUAAGAGAGUGUUGUAUUGUGGGUUGUUUCCUUUGACUGCUAGAGUUGGAGCUACAAAACAAAAAAGUUGACCACUGAAAUGUCAUGUUUUGAGAUGGCAAAAGGCCGACUUAAAAUGCUAAUAGCAAAAAACAAAACAAAACUGUUUUUGUGAACCCACACAGCACUGAGCUGUGGGUACAUGACUGAAAACACAAGAGUGAAGGAGUACUUGUCACACUUGGCAAACAAAUUUGGACAAACAACCAAAGGAAGGCGAGGCUGUGCUUAUCUUCAUGUUCUGUCUGCUGCCCCCAAGACACCGGGUCUGGAGGUGGCAAUGGUAGAUGUGCUGUGCUGGAGGGGAGAGUGGAAUAGAAGAGAGUGAGAAAGAGUAAUUUCACCACUGGUUUAUCAAACACCUCCACAGUCAAUCUCUGGCUCUCACCAACUUCAUCAUUGCAUAGAGAAACUCUUCUUCACCACUUUGCACUUUUUUUCUAGUGGGGUGCUGUAUAGUAUGUGUUGUGCUGACU